rnacentral:rRNA from 1 species
GACGACGCUGGCGGCGUGCCUAAUACAUGCAAGUCGAACGAGUGGCGAACGGGUGAGUAAUGUCUGGGAAACAGCCUGAUGGAGGGGGAUAACUACUGGAAACGGUAGCUAAUACCGCAUACCAUCGGAUGUGCCCAGAUGGGAUUAGCUAGUAGGUGGGGUAAAGGCUCACCUAGGCGACGAUCCCGAGCUGGUCUGAGAGUCUUACCAUCCACAGUGGACCUGAGCCACUGUCCAUACUCCUACGGGAGGCAGCAGUUGGGAAUAUUGCACAAUGGGCGCAAGCCUGAUGCAGCCAUGCCGCGUGUAUGAAGAAGGCCUUCGGGUUGUAAAGUACUUUCAGCGUGGAGGCGUUCCCCGCAGAAGAAGCACCGGCUAACUCCGUGCCAGCAGCCGCGGUAAUAC